GAUCCUCUUAGAGUCAUGGAACAGGGAUCUGAGCUCCUGUAACUAACCUACAACCACAAUGGACAGAUGUUAGAUCAUUGGACACACAAGACAUUCCGGGAAAGGUCUCUGGACUGCAGUGAAGGAGAGGAAACCAGGCUGAUGAACCACCCUCUCAGCAUAGACCAGGAACUGACCACUGGGGCCUCCCAGGAUCGUAUGUCCAGUCACUGAAGUCAGAAAAUGGCUCUGGUUUCCUCCUCCUGCAGCAGCAAAACCUUUAACGGGUUUGUGUUCUACCUUAAAGAGAAGCGAGUACCACUUUGUGAAAUAAGUAACCAUAUUGCAGAAUGAUUAAAAGUUAA